UGUAUGAAAGGAGAGAAGCAGCUAUAAAUCAGAAGGAAGGUAGAAAACAUAUUUACUAGGGUCUGUCUUUGCUUGUAGUUCUCUGGCUUGAUUGAGGAGGUUCUCGCUCUCAUCCUUAUGGUAAAUAAUUUGAGUAUCAAUCCCACUCACAGCCUACAAAGGAAUUGUAUGGAAAGAAUAAGAAUGACAGCAGAAGAAAUCCACUUCUCAUGGAUUGAAGAUUUAAAUGACACCGUUUCUCUGCUAAACACCAAGCAAGACUCGUACAACUUCAUUUCCAUAGCUCAAAAUCAAAGUCAAAUGUGAACAGGAAAAGAUAAAGUGCAUGACGUUUUCACGGUAAACAUUUUUCAAGGAAAAUUCAGUAAAUCUAGAACAGUGCCUGGUCAAGUCCCCUCUGAAGUACUUGUCAAAUAGAAGCCACUCAAUAAAUAGUUUUUGAGUUGAAAAAAUGUGAAUGUGUGCAUAAAGCAACUUCUCUAUCAGCAUGGAGUAAUCUUAAAUAUGGUUUAUUCAGGGACUGUGGUUUAAAAAUGCUGUCAAAAAGACACUGGCAUUUGCUGACAGGAGUAUGGCACAUCUUGAACUACUGAAACCUUCAUAACACAAAUAAAAUGCUGUUUUCUUAGUUUUCUUGACCUUUCUGCCAUUCGUAUUACACUGGAAGCUCAAGAGAUGACAUUAGAAAACAGAAAACUCAUAAGCUGGGAGACGGCAGCAUGUAAAUGAACUUUAAAAUAAGGGAAUACUCGGUGUGUGUGUGUGUGUGUGUGUGUACACCUGGCUGGCUCUGUUGGUGGAGUGUGGGACUCUGUCUUGGAGUUGUGAGUUCUAGCCCCAUGUUGGGUGUAGAGAUUACUUCAAAACAAAAUCUUAAAAAAAUAAGGGAACACUCACAUCAUAAAUCCGGUCAGUGAUGUUCAAAGCCAAUUCUGCUGUGUCAUUGGCUUCGCUAACAUAAUUGGCAAUAUUUUCAUAGACAUUUGAAGCGUCCAAAGCCUUCUGUACCAGCCCGUUCAUAUCUGAACUGUGCAAAUUCCUGUAAAAGAAGAAACUCGUCCUUUUUCUCUUUCUUACUUUUUUGGGAAAUGGGACCAUUGUUAUGGCUUGAUUGGAAUAUUUCCGGGACCACAGGGACCUCCUUCCUGUUAUUUAAAGUCACUUGGCUUGGAAAGGUUUUCCUGAGCUGCCUUUCCUAGGAGCACAUCUUCUUUGCUUUCCUCUGCCUUUGGUGCCCCUAAGACUUUACCCCAUUUUGGCUUCAUGGAAGCUGUUUGCCUGGCAGUGGCCACAGGAAAAAAGAAAGAUGAUUUAAAUCAGCCCUCUGCACCUCUUCAAGCAACGGCUUCUUUAUGUUGUGGCAGUCAGGCAGAGGAAUGAACCCACAGUCCUCCCUCACCUACUUACCCAAAUCAGCAUUGUUACUUUCUACCCAUAGAAGAAACCAAGGCUCUCAGAGAGGGUGCAUAGCCACAGCGUGGUGUUAAGUCUUAGUUGCACUCUACUUACUCAACCUUUUGUUCACUUUAUAAAACAUCGUAUUUUCCCUUUAAGAAGGGGAAUGACACAUACUGAGCAUCUAUAUGCAGAUACUGGGCUGGACUUGUUCUAUAUAGUACGUCUUUAAUUCUUAUCACACCCAUGAAGUAGACAUUGUUAUUCCCUUUUUAUAGAAGGAACCAGGAUACAGGUUGUUAUGACUUGUCUCACUCCUACGGCCCAGCUGCUUCUCUGAAGUGCAAAGCCCUUCUCAUGCCCAUUUCCUCCCUCGCCCCAUACACCAUGUUUUCUGCCUUUACCCCUUUCUGGACUCCUUAAGGUUCAUCUAAUAUUUCUUGGGUACCCAUCAUGCAGUGGGCGCUCUCACAUAGUGGCUGAUAACGCUUCAUGUCGCAGAGGAUUGAUAUGAGGUACAACAGGGACAAAAUAUGUGAAAUGCUUGCUACCCUGCCUGUCAUCCAACAAACAUCAGGGUUUAUUAUUAUGCCGGAACUAUUUCUUGAACUGGAAUUUCAAAUUCUAAAUAUAUUCAUAGAAUAAUUCACUUUAUUGACACUUUUUCCUCCAUAAUAUAAGCACCGCUUUACUUCUGCAGCUCAUCCUGAAUCCUGUGUCUCUAUUUUAUUCCGUUUUACUUAUUUAUUUAUUUUUAAAAAGAACUUUAAGUUUUUGAUUUUAUUUGUUUAUUUGAGAGAGAGAGACAGCACGAGUGGAGGAGGGGCAGAGAGAGAAGGAGAGAGAGAGAAUCCCAAGCAAACUCUGUGCUGAUGGUGCAGACCCUGAUGUGGGGCUUGAACUCAUGAAACUGAGAUCCUGGCUUGAACUGAAAUGAAGAGUUGGAUGCUUAAGUGGAGUCUGCUUUUGUUAUUCUGUGCCUCCCUCUCUCUGUGCCCCUUCCCUGCUUGUGGUCUCUCUCUCUCUCAAAAAUAAAUAAACGUUAAAAAUUUAAAAAAAAGAAAAAAGAAAAAUGAAGACAGCCAUAGGAGGGAAUCUCAAAAACAAUGUUAUUCCAAUACAGCACAUUAUCCAAAUAAUAUUUUAUCCAAGCUCCAUUUUAUUGGCUUGAUCAAAAUCACAUUUACUGGAAGCAUGAUGCUAAGGUGGAUACAAUGCCAUUUUGCACAUGAAGAGUUUACAUAACAUCUAUUUCUCCCUCUCUCUCUCUCUCUUUCUCUCCUCUCUUUCCUUCAAUUCUCAGAAGAUUUGGAGGGAUAUUUGAAAAUUUUGACAAUCAGGAAUAAAAAGGUAGUUUAAGUUUUGAACAAGAGUUAAAUUGGUUCUUAUUUUAUCCAUGACCUUUACUGAUCCUUAUUUCUAAUUGCCAGAUUUGUAGUCUUUCUCUAUAAUUAUCUCAUUAUUUACCUAUCAUUUCAAGGUCAUGAAUUCAAUUCCAGACUUUCAGUACAUUUCAGUUAACACUAAUUGAGUGCCCAAAGGGUGUGGGACUCUCUUCUAGAUGCUGUGAGGAAAAUUGGCAAUUGAUUUUCUCUUAAUCAGGUGUUGAAAUCAAACAGUUCCUGCUGGGCACUGUAGAAUGUCCAGAGUAUAUAUCAGAAGUCAGCUGUAUUGCCAACUUCUAACCAGCUUUACUUAAGACCCUUGGGUGUGAAAGCUAAUGCUGUCUGUGAAAUAAAUAUGUGAUGGUGGCAGAAUUAGACCUUGUAGAGGGAUCUAAUUGGGACCUUGUGAAGGGACUUGAUAAUAUUUUGUGCAGCAGUUAUGUCCCUAAUAAAAAUGCCUUAGUUCCCCUAUUAAUAACUGUGGAGCAGAACCACCCCUCACAACACAGGCCUCUAAUCCGACAGAUUUUUUUUUUUUUUAAUAAAAAACUCUCCCUAAAGCAAUUGCAAUAAACAAUGAUUGGCUGGCUCUUAGACCGACCAACUAACAAACCUUCAAAUGAACAAACAAACACAACCCCAAGCCCAAUUUGCGAAUCUGUAUCCCAGUAAUUCUGACAUGUGGAAUUGAAUAAAAAUGAGUUAUUCACCCUAUGUAGUUAUUUGCAUUUCUAAAACCAGGAUAUUACCUGCUCAAUUCAUCAGCCUCUUGUUGAAGGUUCUGGGCAUGGUCGACGGCUUCUUGGACUAAAUCAUGACUAAGGUUACUUAGGUUGGAUAGCUUCCCUUGUAGUUCAUUUUUGGCUCCGUCUAUUUCCGCAUAAAUCCCUGAUGCAUUCUAAAGAAAAUGUUUUAAAAAGUGAAUUGUUGAACAUAGAAGGACUUAAAAUCUUUUUCCCUUGGAGCACCAAAAGAUAAUCUCUAUUCCUCCUUAUCAUGAGGUUUAGUAAAUUUCAGGCCGGGUCUAUACGAGUCUAAAAUACUUCAAGUAGACUUUUAUCUUUUUCUCUUGCAUCUUUAACUCUUUCUCUAUGGAUUGCUUCCCCCACUUUCAGACAUGCUCUGCCUUCUCCCACCUGAAAACAAAACAAAAUGAAGAUAAACCAAAAAAAACCCUCCAUUACCCAUACAUCUCCCCAAUGUUAUUACCUUACUUUUCUAUUCACCGUAUAGUAAAAUAUCGUCAAAAAAGUGUUUAUGUUAGCUGUCUCUAUUUUAUCACUUUUUAACUCACUCUUUAACCCACUCCAGUCUGGUUUUUACUUCACUGCUCCAAAAAAACAGAAAUUAAGCUAAUGAUAUCUAUGUUACUAAAUCUAAUGAGCAUCAUUCAUUUUUCCCAGUCACUCAAAUAGUGAUUCUCGACAUUGUCACCAUUCUUAAGCCAUGAACUUUUCCUUUUUCCAUCUCCAACUGAUUUUAAGCAGAUUACUUUAUUUUCUUUUUUAUUUAGAAGACAUCAACUAACUGUAGCAGGGAUUUUUUUUUUUUUUCUGUACUCCUGAUGUUUCCUCCCUAUGAAGGGAGCUCAGUCACUGAAACCUCAGACCUCUCCACCCCUUUCCUAAUUCUGCUCCUAAGAAAGGGACUGGUUUAUUUGAUUGGUAAAUUUUGGGGGGGAUAACUGUGUAGUCUAUGUUCAACUCUAUGCUCUGCCUCUUGGUAGCAAGCCUGAGUUUUCCUGUGUUUGUCCAUAAUGAAAGUUGUUCUGGGCAGAGCCCCCACGUGAACCUUCCUGCAAUGUUGCCUGUCUGAGCGGGCAGUUCUGCCUAAUUCUGGGAUUGAGUAUUAGCCACCCCACUUGGCUAAGAGACCUAAAGCCAUGUCCUCAUCUUAGCUGCAUCAGAAAUGAAGGUGAUGUUCUUGGGUCUCGUAUUUACGAUUUUAUUUAUUUUUCAACUCACUUAGAACUUGGGAGCUGAUAGAGGGUACUAUUCUCCUCGGAGACUCCAAUACCAACAAAGAAGAAUCACAAACAACUCUUUGCCACCAUCCUUCAGUCCCUUCCCUUCAAAGAAAACCCUAUUAUAGCUACAUUUUUAUGUACAUCUUUCUCAUAUUUUAAGAGGAAAAGUGUUCCUUUUCUGUAUGAGGCAUGCUGCCCUGUUUUCUCUUCUUCUUGCUCCCUAACUAGUGGCUCCUCUCAUGUAUAAACAUGCCCGGUUAACCUCUCCCAUUAAAAACAAACAAACAAAACCUAUUCCUUGACUCUAGCUUCCCCUCCAGCUUCUUUUCUUUGUUGAUUGAGUGCAUUCCACAGAAAUGGUUCUUGCCAAGGUCCCCAGUGUCAGACACCCUAUUGCCAGAUCCAUUUGACACUUUCCUGCUUUAUGUACUGGAUUUAUUUCUGGUUUGUGACGGUGUUAGUCACUGUCGUUCCCCCAAAACUCUCUCUUUCCUUAGCUUCUGUGACACUGUUCUCUCUUGGGUCUCCUUUUUCACUGUCCAGGAAGGAGACUUCAAAAGCUGGUGUUGCUCAGGCUGGACUCAGACCUUUCCUCUAUGAAUAAUCUAAUUUAGCUCUGCCAACCUAGUCUUUCAAGUCUUCUAACCCACUCUGCACCAUCCUACAGGAAUGGCCAUCUUUCUAUUAAGCAAAUCUGCUCAUGUUAUUUUCCCUCUCAAAAUCAGCCAAUUGCGCUGCAGGAACACAUUUGAUUACUCAGGUGGCUUCAUCAACUGAUCCCUCCUCUUUCCAAUCUCAUCAUUUCUCACCCGUCCCCACCCCAUUAUGUACCAUGGUCAAACCUUGAGUAACCGAUGCUUUAAUGCUCCCUGAUUUUUUUCUGGCCGCUCUACCUUUUCACAUAAUAUUUUCUCUAUCCAGGAUAACUUUGCUUUCUUUUUUGUCUGACCCACCUGGAAAAGUUCUAUGAAUCCUUCGAGUUUUAGCUGAAAUAUCACUUCCUUUAUGAAGCUACCCUUAAUUUCUCCAGGAUGAGUUCAGUGUUGUUAUAUAUUUCUACUGUUCAUGUAUCACACUACUAUAAUAAUUUUGCAUGAUUAUUCCACCCACCAGACUACAUAAUUGUGGAAGGCAAGAUUUGUGUCUAAUUUAUUUUUGUAUUCUCAGGAUGUAGCAUAGUUCUUAGCACAAAGGGUUUAUUUCUGUGGAGACAGUAUUAAGUCUCUAGCUAUUUGGUAGAUCAUCUGGGGAACAACUUUGAAGAAAAUUAUAUUUAGUUGUAUAAGCAGAAAGAAUACCAUGGACAUUCCACCUUUACUUAUUAAUUAAUUAAAUAAAUAUUCAGCAUAUCCCCACUGUGUGCCAGGCACUCUUUUAGGAGAUAGAAUGCAUAACUAUGAAUAUAGUCUCUGUUUUCAGGGAAUUUACAACCUAGUGGGAAUAUAUAGAUUAUAGAUAAAUGGUCAAAUAAUUGAACAAGUUAAUUUCAGAGAGUAAAAAGUAUUUUGAAUAAAAUAGUAUGAGUGGGAUGGGUUGGAGAGUGAUUGAAGGUAAAAACACCAUUUGCAUUGAAUGUCACAAGGACGCUAGCCAUUUGAAGAUCUGGAGACAGCAGGUGCAAAGGUCCUGAGGUGAGGAAAAGUGUGGUGUGUUUGAAAAAUAGAGCAGAGUUGGAGGGUGAUAGAGAGGAGUGGACUGGAAGGUAGUGAGUGGGGAAGAGAUACGUGGAUUGAGGUAGAGUGAUGGGUCAGAGUCAGGUCACUUAGGAACCAUGGUAAAAUGACCUUGUUUCUUACUCUAAGUUUCACUGGAGGUUUUUGUGUGGGAGAAAUAAUAUUUUUAAGGGAUUGUUCUGCUACUGAAUGGAGACUGAGUCUUGAGGGGCAAGAGUGGAGGUAAAUGAAUGGGUAGGAGGCUCCUUUGGCAGUUCAUGCUGGAGAGGAGGUAGCCUGGACUGCAGAGUGGAAGCAGCGAAGGGAGUGGUCAGAAACCAGGACUCCUUUUGGAGAUAAGGUCAAUGGGUCUUAUCGAAACGGGAAGGAGGAGAGAGGAGAAAUCAACAAUGACUCUGGAGUUUUGAUUUGAGCAAAUGGGGUUGUGCCGGUUACUGAGGUGGGGAAGAAGCAGGUUUUAUUCAGAAUGUGUUAAGUUUGAUAUGACUAUUACACAUCUAAGUGGUAGAUAAAAUCCCUGAGUUCUUACUGGAAAACUUUAAGUAAGCAUUUGGAUAUGAGUCUGGAACUCAGUGGAAGUAUGAAAGCUGGAGGUAUAAAUUGUGGGGUCAUGCAUAUAAUUGUUCUUUAAAGCCAUGGGAUUCAAUGCAAUCAGCUAGGGAGAAAGGGUAAGUACCAAAGAGGGCCCAGGACUGAGAAUGGAGCCAUUCAUUAUCAAGAGCAGGGAUGGACCAACAGCUCAGGGCUACGUACAGCUCGAGGCCUGUUUCUACACAGCUCCUAGCUAAGGACAUUAUCUAAAUUUUUGGAGAGUUGUAAAAAAUAAAAACAAACAAAAAAUUAAAAAAAAAAACACACAGAAAAAAAGGGAGUGUGGUUAUACGUGGCCUGCAGAGCCUAAAAUAGGUACUACACAGAGGAUGUGCAGAGGUGAAGCUAGCAGAGGAGGCUGGAAAAAAGUCUCCAAUGAGGUGGGAGGGGGACCAGGUGAGGGGGGAGGGUACUGGAGGAGCCAGGAUGAAAACUCUGAGUGUUUAAAUAAGGAGAAAAGGUUAGUCAGCAAGGAGGCUAAGAAUGCUGAGGAGGGAGAAGUAACUGUGGUUUUGGUUAUGUUGAGUUCACUGAUGACGUGGACAAGAACAGUCUCGGUGGAGGGGCGUGAAAUCCCAUUUGGAGUGGGUUGUGUACCGAAGGCAGCAGAUGGCUGGAAAGUGGAUAUGCCAGCUAUAAAUGACUCUCGAGGUGUUUUGCUGUGAAGUUGAGCAGUGUAGAGUAAUGAAUGGGACAGAGAUUAGAGGCAUGCAGGCAAGGGCUUUCUUCUUUUAAAGGAUAGGAGAUACUUACACAUGUUUACAUGUUGGCAGCAAUGGUUCAGUAGAGGGUAAGAAUGGGAUCAAAGAGAAGAGAGAGGGCAUACUUUCAGGGGGAAACCUGUGGCCCCGUUCUUGAGGUGGGGAAGGAUGGGAUUCAGAGCACAGGUGAGGAGAUGAGACUUCAAGAGGAGAAGGGGUACUUCACUAAUUAUAGUAAGAAGGAAGGUAGAUGUGUGCAUAGAAAUGCAGGUGAGCUGGUAGAACUGGGGAGAAAGAUGAGGGAAAUUCUCUUCUCUUUGUUCCUGUUUUUCAGUGAAGCGUGAAGCAAAUUCACCAGCCAGACUGAUAGAAGGGAAGGUGAAUUUUUCACUAUGUUGGCUUCUCUGGUAUGGCCAUGAUGCUGGGGAUACUUGGGUUUACUGGUCUAUGGGGAUAGAAUUCUCAUGUGCGUGCAAUAAGGGAAGAGGUGGAUAAAGAAGUUAAAGCUGUUUUCAAAUAAUGAUUAUACAGUAGCUCCCCCUUCUCUACAGAGAAUAUAUUCCAAGAUCCUCAAUGGGUACCUAAAUCUGUGAAUGGUACCAAACCCUGUAUAUACUAUGUUUUUCCUACGUGUAUAAGCCUAUGAUAAAGUUUAGUUUAUCAGUUAGGCUCAGUAAGAGUGUAAUAAUAAUGAGUAAUAAUAAAAUAGAACAAUUAUAACAAUAUACUCUAAUAAAAAUUGUGAGAAUGUGGUCUCUCUCUAAAAAUGUCUUAUUGUACUGUACUCACCCUUCUUGUGAUGAUGUGAGAUGAUAAAACGUCUAUGUGAUGAGAUGAAUUGAGGUGAAUGAGGUAGGUAUUGUGAUGUAGCAUUAGGCUAUAGGAGGGAUAAGCAGGGUGGGCUGGAGGAAAAGCUUGUUGGGCAGGAGAAGUUAUGGGGGCCGGAGGUCUGAGAGCUGGUGGGCUCAUCCAUCUCGAUUUUGGUGUCACCAAGGAUAGUGAUGGGAGUAGGGAUGGAGAGGAAGACAGGGAGCUUGGCACUGAAACAGUCGAAGAAGAAUGAGAUGGCGAUCAGAUGACUUUAAAAUGGUCUCCUUUCAGUAGCUAGGAGCCACGCGUGGCACUACUGAGCACUUGAAAUAUGGCUAAUUCAAUGGAGGAAUUCCAUUUUAAUUUCUUUCACUUUUAGUCGUUUAAAUUUAAACAGUCAUAUGUGGGUAGUGCCGCCAUGCAAUGAGGGAAACUGAAAACUUCAGUCUCCUGAUCCUACUUCUGUAACUCCAGUUAACUUGACAGAUUUGAAUUGGAUUCCACUGUUGUUCUGUGACAAUGAGACGCUGUUCCGAUCUGUUAUAAAUACAAACCUACAGGCCACAUGCAUCCCUACCUUUAUUAUAUCAUCAAGUUCUGAAAGGGUCAGACGGGGUGUUGUCAGAGAAUCCAAAGACGUCUUCAGAGAAGCAUUCACCCCUUCCAUCUGUUCCCUCACUCUCUCGUGUUGUUUCUGUGGGAAGGAAGCGUAAGAUACAGCAGAAGAGAAGGUCACUGUAGAGAAAGCAUCAGGCAGAAUGGUCAAUGUCACCUCCUGUCUUUGUGCUCAGACAAAUCUAGGUUCCUCUCACGGCCCCAAGACUUAAUUGCUGUAUAACUUUGGGGAAUUCUACUCAUGUCAUGCUCCGUUUUUUCAUUUAUAAUAUGGAGGUAACAAAUGUAAGCACUUUGGGAGCUCUGAAGCACUUAGGUAUGAUUAUUGCUCAAAACACCAUCAUCUCAAGGGGAGUGACCACUUCAGAGAGAGCCUUUGACUUUUUCUCCACAAAUGUAGAAAGUGGGACACUGGAUGCGGGAGUGCACAGAAGCUCUAUAUUCGCACUAAGUGGAAAAAUGAAUUAAUUCAGAAAGGCAUUUCAUGUGCUGACUUUGGGCCAGGCACGGAUAGCUCAUUUGGAUAGUAAUAAAGCAUAUACAAAACAAUCUUACAGUCCUUAAAAAGAUUUUUUUAAAUGGCCCUACUAUGAAAGCAUGAAAUUGUGAUCUUGCUUCUUGGCAUUCUGAGCUCGUAAUGUUAGAUGCUCAGACUUUUUGAGGAGGGAAAAUGGCCCAAGUGUUAAUCUAUUUUUUGAUGAAUGCUUUCAUUUCUACCUUCGCUGUUGGGUUCUAGAAACAGGCAUGUUGUGAUUUUGAAGAAAUAUUAGAUAGCCUCAAAUGAGUCUGGAGUUUGAAAGCAACACAGAAUGAUACUUUAAGAGGGAAAAGUAAAAGACUCAUUUUACAAUCUGAGUAAAAAAUGAGUCAAAGUUACUUUAGAAGUGGUAAUUUGAAUGGAGGUUGAAAUAUAUGACUUAUGGUAUGAUCUAAGAUAUCAUGGGAAUAAUUACAGAAGCCCAGAUAUAGAAGGACACACUUCCUAAAUUCAUCUCAGUGUCUUUCGUGUUCCCUGCAGUCUUUUCUAAUUUAGGGAAGGAAGAUGGAAGCAUCUUCUCCAAACACGUUGCAACAGGGGAAGAUAUAGGUCCAAGGACAGAAAAGAACCCCAUUUGAACAUCUUAAUGCAAGAACCUUCCAAAAUCAAUUUCCCCUCGAAAUCCACCAAGCUUAAUACAGUGUGACUAUCUGGGGUUAAUUAUUCUUGUCUCCACAAGCAGCGGGGGUCACACAGCUCUAUACAAAAGCAGUAUCUUAACAUAAGAGUAUUA
rnacentral:lncRNA from 1 species